rnacentral:rRNA from 1 species
UACGGAGGGUGCGAGCGUUGUCCGGAAUCAUUGGGCGUAAAGGGCGCGUAGGUGGCCCGGUCAGUCCGUGGUGAAAGCGCGGGGCUCAACCCCGCGUCGGCCAUGGAUACUGCUGGGCUAGAGUCCGGAAGAGGCGAGUGGAAUUCCUGGUGUAGCGGUGGAAUGCGCAGAUAUCAGGAGGAACACCGAUAGCGAAGGCAGCUCGCUGGGACGGUACUGACGCUGAGGCGCGAAAGCGUGGGGAGCGAACAGG